AAGGACAAUCACUGCAGUUUAAAUAAAUACCUCUAUUUCAGUUGGUUUGAAAUUACGACUACCAGCUAAAAGAGAAGUAGCUUCUGCCGUGCCAGGGGGUGGUUGAUAGGAGUGACCAAGGUUGCUGUAGGAUCCUUGAUUGCCAUUAGCGUUAUUACUAAUAUGGAGAUCGUGACCUCCUCCAAAGGUUGGACCAUAAUUUGGAUUAUGAUAGAUAGCACUGUGCUCGCGGCCAGGUGUCAGGUUUGCAAUGAAUGGAGCAAGAUUUUCCUUAUUUCGCAGAGAAAACAGAAAUGACAACUUGGAAUGUGUCCAACCAUGAUUACCUA